ACACGAACUGCGCGAACGUUAUUCGGAAUCAUUGGGCUUAAAGAGUUCGUAGGCGGCCUGAUAAGUUGGGUGUGAAAUCCCUCGGCUCAACCGAGGAACUGCGCCCAAUACUGUCAGGCUUGAGGGAGACAGAGGUGAGUGGAACUGAUGGUGGAGCGGUGAAAUGCGUUGAUAUCAUCAGGAACACCGGUGGCGAAAGCGGCUCACUGGGUCUCUUCUGACGCUGAGGAACGAAAGCUAGGGGAGCGAACGGGAUUAGAUACCCCGGUAGUCC
rnacentral:rRNA from 1 species